UUCAUAUAGUUUUAAACCAAAC
rnacentral:tRNA from 1 species